rnacentral:rRNA from 1 species
CAUGUCUUUUUGAUUAUAAUUUAAGGUUUAAUCUGCUCAAUGAGGAUUUAAAUUGCCGCGGUAUUUUGACCGUGCAAAGGUAGCAUAAUAAUUAGUUUCUUUAUUGGAAGCUGGAAUGAAUGAUUGGACGAGAAAAUUACUGUCUCUUUCGAAUUAAUUUUUUAAAUUAACUUUUAAGUAAAAAGGCUUAAAUAUAUUUUAAAGACGAGAAGACCCUAUAGAGUUUGAUAUUAAAGAAAUUUCAGGUGUUUUUGGUUAUUUAUUAACUGGAGUUUUAUUUAUUAUUUGGUUGGGGUGACUUAAAGAUUUAAUAAACUCUUUAAAAUUUUUAUCAAUGAUUUUUGAAUUUAGAAUCUAAUUUUUUUAAAGUUAAGAUAAAUUACCUUAGGGAUAACAGCGUAAUUUCUUUUUAGAGUUCUUAUUGAGAAAGAAGUUUGCGACCUCGAUGUUGGAUUAAAAUUAAUUUCUGGUGCAGAAGCUGGAAAAUUGGGUCUGUUCGACCUUUGAAAUUUUACAUGAUCUGAGU